UACGUAGGGGCCGAGCGUUGUCCGGAGUUACUGGGCGUAAAGCGCGCGCAGGCGGCUCGUCAAGCCUGACGUGAAAGCCCCCGGCUCAACCGGGGAGGGUCGUCGGGGACUGGCGGGCUUGAGGUCGGCAGGGGUUGGUGGAAUUCCCGGUGUAGUGGUGAAAUGCGUAGAGAUCGGGAGGAACACCCGUGGCGAAGGCGGCUCUCUGGGACGGUACUGACGCUGAGACGCGAAAGCGUGGGGAGCGAACAGG
rnacentral:rRNA from 1 species